UACGGGGGGGGCAAGCGUUGUUCGGAAUUACUGGGCGUAAAGGGCUCGUAGGUGGCCAACUAAGUCAGACGUGAAAUCCCUCAGCUUAACUGGGGAACUGCGUCUGAUACUGGAUGGCUUGAGUUUGGGAGAGGGAUGCGGAAUUCCAGGUGUAGCGGUGAAAUGCGUAGAUAUCGAGAGGAACACCUGCGGCGAAGGCGGGUUGCUGGGCUGGACACUGACGCUGAGGCGCGAAAGCCAGGGGAGCGAACGGG
rnacentral:rRNA from 1 species